AACACACUAGUCAAUGGAGUGGAACACAGACAAGGCUGUUAACAACAUGUACCUGGAUUUGAAAGGUGUGAACUGAAUUAGUAGGAAACUAGUGCAAAUUUUGGAAGAGUUUUGAAGCUGCAUGCAAGCAAGUUAUUAAGCUAAUGGAGAUGCACGGCCCUUGCCGGUGUCUUCCUGGUCAGUCUGUGUGAAAGCACUGUGGAGACGCACCUCUCCGGGGGCCUGGACUGGUAAAACCGUGACUUGGCGUUGCUUGAAGAAGGGCUGGCUCCCUCCAAACAUCCGUGUCUCUGCCUCGGCUUUCCGAGCUUGGUGUGUUCCCCUCGUCAGAACCUGACGGAUUCUAGAGCAAAGGGUUUGCUGGUUGUGUCUGAGAAAGAGCCAGGGAGUCGCAAUCAAUAUUGCACCGACCUAUCCAUCAGAACCGUCAAAGGUUUCGGGAAGCUAGCCCACGCCACCGGCUGUUUCACCACCAUCUCCCCCACAGCCCUGUCUGACUGCACCCCCUUUUCUCUCCCCCCACUCCCCAACACCCUAUGAUGAAACUUUGAAGAGGAACUCCAAGGCCUGGUAGAUUAAGUGUGAGGAGGCCUGCGUGCUUUGAGCCCAUUUCCCUCUUGGGACUGCAGCGUGAAUUCCUGGCACCGCAGAGACGACAGAAUUUGCAUGCACAGGAUUUCCAGUGACUGGGCGAGGGUGAGAAGAUAAAACAUCAUGUCUUAUGACAACUAUAUGCUGUCCUAGGAAGAGACACUUGAUCAUUUGGAGUGCACUGGGAAAAAAAUCAAGGAGCUUACAUUUUGAAAAAUGUAAGAGCCAUUCCUGAAUGAUCUGCCACUUCUCCCAUAUCUGCACAAAGGAGCACUAUCUGCUUAGGAGCGCAUACUCACCCACCCUCAGGGAUGAAGAGUCUCUCUGCUAAGAGCCUGAGCCUGCAGCACUGAUGUUAAUGGACUUUCAAUGCAAGAGAUGUGCUUCUAACAUUAAGAUUGCUCCAAAGGACAAUAAGGGAUCACACUCGUGUCUUUCACUCUCUGCUUUGUGCCUUCUCUCAUUUGCCCUAUACCCACACAGCUUGCCAGUCAUGUGCCCUCUUCUUUCAAGCCCACUUUUUUCAUGAAUCCUCCUUAUACUGGUGAUCUUUCCACAAGGCCUGAACUGUUUGUGUCUUAUGGCAUUAAAUGAGUAGUGGCUGGGCUUCACCAUAGGCCUUGUACAAGUGCUGUGAACAUUUACACCACUACCCAUAUUUACAUGAAUGAGAUGGUUACUCCAGACUUCCACUGUGUUGUUUUGUUUUAUUUUUAUUUAUUUUUUAUGUAUGCAGUAAAGCAGAAAAAUCAGAAAUGCCAGAAAUUGGAAUCUCAACUCAUAGGAAGAACAGUUUAAUAGUUAAUGACAAGUUUUUGGUAUUACCGUACAUACCUGCUGUGCGUUGGCUGCAAGCGUCUGGAUCUGUCCCUGGACUACCUGGGUGCCUGAUACCGGCUGAGCUAAGCGGAUAUACUGCAGUUGGCCAGCAUUCAGUUGAACCUAGAAACAAGGUAGAGAAAGAAAAAUAAGACAGUGGACUGUAUAGUAUGAAACACAAACUUGCCUUCUUGUUUCCAAAACAGAAACCAGAGUAACAGAUGAUACUUGGAGGAUUGAACAGAUGCAGUGCUGAAAUUAAUAGUUACAUGGAUUCUGUCAAAGAAAAUAAGAGAAACACUUUACCACUGCAAAUUCUUAACUAAAACUUGAAAGAGCCACCUUAGCAUCUCUCUUUCUGCAACGGGAAAGCAUUUAGAAAGUAGCACACUGAAGGUUUUAAUCAAGUGUUAGAGAGCCCUUAUUUUUCCUUUGCAAAUAUGAAGAGUGAUCAGAUUAGUUCUUCUUAAACUAGAGUAAAUGGCAGAUUCUCUGUAACUUUAAGUCUUUAAAGUCAUUCGUACAAAUAAGAAAACUACUUUACCAGUGAGCAAGCUGCAAAUAGUGACAUUCCUAUUACAUUCUUCCCAUCAUUUUCCUUUAGAUGUUUGGUAACUUUUCACCUUCUUAAAAAUGAGGGAAUGACAGCACUGGCUAGAACCAGGAAUACUGCAAAGGCUUCCAACACAAUUCUGCCAGGGUACUUCAGUCCUGACACAACAAAGGCUGUAAUAUUAUCAUGCCAAUGUUUUGUGCUUUAUAUUAAAAUACAAAACUUCAGUUUAAUAUAACACAAGGUUAGAAGUUUAAAUGUUGACAAGUCAGGAAAAAGUUAUCACAGUAACAUUAGUCCUGCUCUCUUACAUAUUCUGCAUUUUUAACUAUAUAAACAAACAUUUGAAAAGCAACACAAACAAAGCAAAACAUGGAACACGGCUGAAUUAAUGUUACUACCAGAACUGCAACUUUUCCCAUUAACCUACUUUUGAACAUUUAAUUCAGAAUCUGAAGGUUAAAUUGUUAUAUGCAGCUUUCAUUUUAAUUUACUUUUAAAGGGGGGGGGGAAUCAAGAGCCAUUACAAGUAAAGAGCAUAAAACCACUUUUACUUCACCAGUGACGCUUGGAAGCUCUUGGAACAGAAAUUAUUGGGCUUGCAGUUUACACAAACUCUGCUGACUUCACCAGUUGUGUCCAGAAGCCCCAAUAUUGCUCUUGAAGCAAUAGCCUCUGCCGUAGUUAUGAGUGUAACCUCCAUCUGAGCACAAACAUUUCAAUACACAAUCUAUUUCUGCGUUAAAAUUUGCCUGCAGAGAAGAGGCUUCCCACUUCAAUUUUUAACCACAAUACUAAUUUAAUGGGUGAAACAGAUUUGAAAUGCUUAUAAAACACUUAUUUUUGGUUCUGCAGAGACCAAAAAAGGUCUAGUGCUCACUGACAUCUAGCUAAUGUGAAAAUUUCAAAUUGUAAAUUCAGCUACUUUUGAGACGUGAGCAAAACAUGUACAUUUAUCCAAAAUGUACAUCUCCCACCUUUGCUCAAAGUUUAAGAAAAAAAUAAAUAAAAACACAAGACAACAUAUGAGCUGAGAUCCAUGAUGGAAAAUUAUAGCCAGAAAAACAUUUUCAGAUGUUAUAAGCAGGUGCAAGCCAGUGGGGUUAUAAGGAACAGUCCGAUAUCAAGCUUUUAAUUACAGUGGGCACUACCAGUUUUAUGACACCUUAUAUCAGAAAUUUAAGUUUUUGUGCAUGCGCAGUGAGAGACAGAAAGACUUUCAGUGGAGCCCUGGACUUGAGGAGCCAUUAAAGGGAGAUACUGAUGAUGCGACCAACAAGAUAGGAGAGAGCUCCAGGAAAGCAGCAUAGUGAAAGUGGAAGAGGAUAGAAUGAUAACAGUGCUGAUGGCAGCAUAGACUAAUGCUCUAUUAAAAACCCUCU